rfam:Nematostella vectensis strain CH2 x CH6 NEMVEscaffold_239_Cont20323, whole genome shotgun sequence.
ACCAGGAUGGCCGAGUGGUUAAGGCGUUGGACUUAAGUUCCAAUGUUCGGAUGCACGCGUGGGUUCGAACCCCACUCCUGGUA